UGAACGCUGGCGGCAUGCUUUACACAUGCCCGUCGAACGGUAACAGGCCUUCGGGUGCUGACGAGUGGCGAACGGGUGAGUAAUGCAUCGGAACGUACCCAGAGGUGGGGGAUAACGCAGCGAAAGCUGUGCUAAUACCGCAUGUGAUCUGAGGAUGAAAGCGGGGGACCGAGCAGCAAUGUUUGGCCUCGCGCCUUUGGAGCGGCCGAUGUCGGAUUAGCUAGUUGGUGGGGUAAAGGCCUACCAAGGCGACGAUCCGUAGCUGGUCUGAGAGGACGACCAGCCACACUGGGACUGAGACACGGCCCAGACUCCUACGGGAGGCAGCAGUGGGGAAUUUUGGACAAUGGGCGCAAGCCUGAUCCAGCAAUGCCGCGUGCGGGAAGAAGGCCUUCGGGUUGUAAACCGCUUUUGGCAGGAACGAAACGGUGUCCGCUAAUACCGGGCGCUAAUGACGGUACCUGCAGAAUAAGCACCGGCUAACUACGUG
rnacentral:rRNA from 1 species